CACGUAGGGCGCAAGCGUUGUCCGGAAUUAUUGGGCGUAAAGAGCUCGUAGGCGGUCUGUUACGUCUGCUGUGAAAACUCGGGGCUUAACCCCGAGCUUGCAGUGGAUACGGGCAGACUAGAGGUAGGUAGGGGAGAAUGGAAUUCCCGGUGUAGCGGUGAAAUGCGCAGAUAUCGGGAGGAACACCGGUGGCGAAGGCGGUUCUCUGGGCCUUACC
rnacentral:rRNA from 1 species